rnacentral:lncRNA from 1 species
CUCAAAUUAUCCAUAGGAGAUUUAUCCUCAUACUCAAUAAGAAAAAUAUUUCUAAUUAUAUCCAACCAUUCUUAAAAUGAAUGAGAAUUAUGCAGGGACACCAAGAUUGCCAAAACGUUUUUUUGCCAAACAAUUCCUUUUGCCUUAAGAAAGAAGAGGCAGCUGCAUUGUUUCCAUAACUAUCCAUAUAAAAGAGCCCUUGGAAUGAGGCUGACUCGUCCUGCUUUAAAAAGCUCCAAGGUAAGGGGGAGCGGGACCCGGGUUUUCAGGAGGGACACUGAUCACACCGCCCAGUGCCGGCUGCAGCUGCUAGUUCCGGUACUGCAGAACUGUCUAGUUUCCAGGCUGCAUCUCCUCACUUGCUAAUAAGGUAAGACCUGGACUGACUAGUCCCUGGAGGAGAAUGAAAGAGUCUCUGGGAUGGAUUUAUGUCACAUAGCAACCUUUGAGAAAGUGCUCAUCUCGAUCAACAGCCUCCAACAACCUUACUUCAGGGAAGUUGCUGGAGGAGGAAAGGGCGAAGGCUUCCCUCUUAGAACAAUGCACAUAGCCUCACUGAUGACAAAGGCUUUGAUGGGGUGACAUUUUAGCAAGAGAAUAGUUUUUGGAAGAGUAUUAUUUUUCAGUAAAAAAAUCUCUACUAAGAUUCCCUCGUUGAAAGUCUCAAAUUUGAUAAAAAUGUGGCCUGCAAUUAGAAUUCAUUUAGUAAUAAACAUGAUAUCCAAUAAAUAAGAAAGGAAGUAUAUAUAAACUUCCUUUGUAAAAAGUCCCCUUAUCGAAUGCUGACUGUUGUACGAAACCAAAUCACCGUGUAAUUUUUAUUAGAUAUAUAAUAAAGGUAUUAACUGGCCUUAUGACUGCACAUAGCAGUUUCUUUCUAAUGAGAGAAACUGGUCGGUAGCUGAUUAGAAUUAGUUUUAAGUAAUUUGAUCAUGUAAUGACUACAGGAGCAUUCUUUGCCAACAGGGCUGCAAACAAUUAUUUCCAGGUCCAAGUAUUUCAUUCUACUGAAACCCCUGGCAAGGAGUAGAUAACAUACAACAGGCAACUGGGCCUGCAAAGGAAAAAGAGCAAAGGGAGCCCUUCAAUAGAGGAGAACAAA